ensembl:snRNA U6 U6 spliceosomal RNA
GUGCUCGCUUUGGCAGCACGUAUACUAAAAUUGGAAUGAUACAGAGAAGAUUAGCAUGGCCCCUGUGCGAGGAUGACACGCAAAGGCGUGAAGUGUUCCAUAGUUUU